GUUACUAGAAGGUGUUUAAUGUUGGAGCGUAACCAGUCCCUGCAGUAAAGGCCGUUACUAGAAGGUGUUUAAUGUUGGAGCGUAACCAGUCCGUGCAGUAAAGGCCGUUACUAGAAGGUGUUUAAUGUUGGAGCGUAACCAGUCCGUGCAGUAAAGGCCGUUACUAGAAGGUGUUUAAUGUUGGA